AUUGAACGCUGGCGGCAUGCUUUACACAUGCAAGUCGAACGGCAGCACGGGCUUCGGCCUGGUGGCGAGUGGCGAACGGGUGAGUAAUACAUCGGAACGUACCCAGAAGUGGGGGAUAACGUAGCGAAAGUUACGCUAAUACCGCAUACGAUCUAUGGAUGAAAGCAGGGGACCGCAAGGCCUUGUGCUCCUGGAGCGGCCGAUAUCUGAUUAGCUAGUUGGUGAGGUAAAGGCUCACCAAGGCGACGAUCAGUAGCUGGUCUGAGAGGACGACCAGCCACACUGGAACUGAGACACGGUCCAGACUCCUACGGGAGGCAGCAGUGGGGAAUUUUGGACAAUGGGCGCAAGCCUGAUCCAGCAAUGCCGCGUGAGUGAAGAAGGCCUUCGGGUUGUAAAGCUCUUUUGUCAGGGAAGAAACGGUAGAGGCUAAUAUCCUUUGCUAAUGACGGUACCUGAAGAAUAAGCACCGGCGAACUACGU
rnacentral:rRNA from 1 species